rnacentral:rRNA from 1 species
AGAGUUUGAUCAUGGCUCAGAAUCAACGCUGGCGGCGUGCCUAACACAUGCAAGUCGCACGAGAAAGGGGCUUCGGCUUUGAGUAAAGUGGCGCACGGGUGAGUAACACGUGACUAAUCUACCCUCGAGUGGGGAAUAACCUAGAGAAAUCUGGGCUAAUACCGCAUAACACUUACGAGUCAAAGCAGCAAUGCGCUUGGGGAGGAGGUCGCGGCCGAUUAGCUAGUUGGCGGGGUAAUGGCCCACCAAGGCGAUGAUCGGUAUCCGGCCUGAGAGGGCGCACGGACACACUGGAACUGAAACACGGUCCAGACUCCUACGGGAGGCAGCAGUGGGGAAUUUUGCGCAAUGGGGGAAACCCUGACGCAGCAACGCCGCGUGGAGGAUGAAAUAUCUUGGUAUGUAAACUCCUUUCGAUGGGGAAGAUUAUGACGGUACCCAUAGAAGAAGCCCCGGCUAACUUCGUGCCAGCAGCCGCGGUAAUACGAGGGGGGCAAGCGUUGUUCGGAUUUAUUGGGCGUAAAGGGUGCGUAGGCGGUUUGAUAAGUCUGAUGUGAAAUCUAUGGGCUCAACCCAUAGUCUGCAUUAGAAACUGUCGGGCUUGAGUAUGGGAGAGGUGAGUGGAAUUUCCGGUGUAGCGGUGAAAUGCGUAGAUAUCGGAAGGAACACCUGUGGCGAAAGCGGCUCACUGGACCAUAACUGACGCUGAUGCACGAAAGCUAGGGGAGCAAACAGGAUUAGAUACCCUAGUAGUCC